AAUUGAUGUCUUAAUGCCAAAUAGAGCUCGACAGAUUUUGCUUUCACAAGUGGAGCAAACAGCUUUCGCCAUAAUGCGGUGGCGACGUUCACGCGCGACGUUCAAAAUCACAGACUAUUCAAACCCCUACUCUAGGGACCUUUCUAGAGUACCAAAAGAGAAAAGCGGAAGAGAGGCAAAACUUUUCAUGUGGGAAAAUGAAAUCAAAGAAAAUAUGUAAAGUCCAGUUGGAGAAUUGCCAGACACAUCUGACUCCGAUCCUGAGAUUGUGAUAAAAACAACAUCAAGAGAAUUUGAUCUAGCUGAUACACUGCCAUUUGAACCUCACCACAAAAGCAGUCCUGUACACAAAGAGCCUGACAAGGUGAAUGGUGAUGGGGGGUUGUCACUCUCUACUGAAGUACAUCAGGUAAUGGAGUAUUAUUUACAUACAGUCUCUAUCUUCCUCACUGGUCCAUGACUUUAGGUAUGAAACAAAACAAUAGCUAAAUGUUUACAUAGACACCAUCAAUGUAACUAUUAUAUGGUCUAAUAUAACAACAAUAACUUAAUUGAUCCUCAUAGGGAAAUUCACUUCUGGCAGCUCAUCUACCAUUCAGUGAAGAAUUAGAAAGUCUGAUGCCUGUGGGUACAAAAUAUCCUCUAUAUCUUUCCAUCCUGCAGUAAAGAGAGUGGAGCCAUCGUCCACCAUCUGUUUUUGAUGUUAUGAUUACAUUUAUACCUUUAGACCAAAGUCCAUUGAAGUAAACUCAUAAUCAUAGUAUUAUGUUUAUUGCAGUUGUGUGCUUUUAAGCUUUGCUUUUCAUUUAGGGGGAAUAUAAAGCCAUUUCAGAUGGACUGUUAACUACAAGCCUUUUGUGAAUGUGCCUGACUUAAGAAAUUGAAAGCGUAUAUGGAGAGUUAGAUGAUCGUGGAUGCAUCAAAGAUUACUUCAGAUAUCCUAUUCAAGCACAGAAGCACAUAUAAGAAAAGUUAACUCAAUACUUUAUCAUGCCAUAUAUUUGCGUCAUGCAGUUUUUUUGAAUUGGCAAUUGUACCACAUUUCACUUAAAUUAGCAAGAAUAAAAGUAAACAGGGAAAUGUGCCCACUGAAUGUCAUCUUCUGUUCUUUAUCUCACCUCCUUAAAGGGAUAGUUGAAUAUUUUGUCAAUUUUCCUUAUUGCAUUAAUCAUCAUUAGUCAUAUAAGCAGGUACAUUCCUGUCCAUAAGAGCAUUUUGGAAUUAUAGGAUUGUGUAUUUGAUUAGUUUAGAGCAACCUAUACUGUCCAACUCCAUUGUAUUCACUGAGCAGCUCGCAUUUGUGCUUCAGGACUCUCAAAACGGGCAUUGGUAAUAUACAUUCUCAUUAUUAUUGCAAUAGACAGGCUUCCCAAAAUGUUGAACUAUCCCGUUUAGGUAAUCCAUAGAGUUUGUUACAUAAUUAUGUUGUCUUUUUAUUGAAUGUCCUGUUUUUACAUUUCUUAACUUUAAGACUAUACACUUGGAUGAGGAGCAUAGUUAUGCAAGUACCUCCACAUGUCUUGAUGUCGAGAGCUCCUGUUACAGGUGUUCUUUGUGUAAUUGUAUAUAGAUUGUGUUAUGAUAUAUUUUUCUGGGAUGAACCCGGACACAGCACGCACACACAGAGUCAGUUCUUAUGAGU